CCUACGGGAGGCAGCAGUGGGGAAUAUUGCACAAUGGGGGGAACCCUGAUGCAGCGACGCCGCGUGAGUGAAGAAGUAUUUCGGUAUGUAACGCUCUAUCAGCAGGGAAGAAAAUGACGGUACCUGACUACGAAGCCCCGGCUAACUACGUGCCAGCAGCCGCGGUAAUACGUAGGGGGCAAGCGUUAGCCGGAUUUACUGGGGGUAAAGGGAGCGCAGACGGCUGUGCAAGUCUGGAGUGAAAGGCGGGGGCCCAACCCCCGGACUGCUCUGGAAACUGUAAAGCUGGAGUGCAGGAGAGGUAAGCGGAAUUCCUAGUGUAGCGGUGAAAUGCGUAGAUAUUAGGAGGAACACCAGUGGCGAAGGCGGCUUACUGGACUGCAACUGACGUUGAGGCUCGAAAGCGUGGGGAGCAAACAGGAUUAGAUACCCCUGUAGUC
rnacentral:rRNA from 1 species